GGUUAUUGGAUGUCAAAGGUGUAACAAAGAUUAUUGUGUUGUUGGCGAUGAAGAGUCAAAUUUUAGCCGGUGGAAGUGGCUUGGGAACUUUUAACAGUGGCCUUAAAGGAGGAGUACAAAUUGUUAAGACUGAAUAGGUUGAAGACAUAUCGGUCCUAUCUCCAGUCCUAUAAUCCUUAACAGAGGUUAACUUGCAAAGUUUUAUGAAAUUGGAAUAAUGGAUCUCAAGAACCAAGUGGAUCGCCAGAAAGUGUUUGUACCACCUUCGAAGCAUUUAACCAACGCUACAUGGCUGUGAUGAGAAUGACAUAGAUGAUGAACUUCAAGAGGACUACAUAGGUGUUGAAUCUCAAGAGGACGACAUAGAUGAUGAUGAGGAUGAUGGAUUGGAGAUGAUGCUGAAUUCGAGAAACUUAAAUGAGUUGGAUGAUG